CGGAGCCGGGCGCGGUCGGCGGCGGCGGGAGCGCGGCGGCGGCGGCGGCGGACGGGGCUGGGCAGAGGCUGCCCUCUCGGCUGGGGAAAUCCUUUCCGGAUCCUGUGCACUUAGACGGCCGCAAGAGAGCCUGCACACCCCCCGGGGACAGAGUUUGCCUCCUGAACUACACUUCUUUUACUGAAGAACAGUAGCUCCGACCUCCAAACCAACUGGGACUUCCCGCUUUGAAGUAGCUGCGAACAGUGCUCCCGUGUCUCAA